CUCCGGUGAAGACGCUGUUAGAAAGUAUCAAGAUCUGGUUGAAAGCAGUGAGACAGAGAGAAAGUUAAGCUGCUGAUAUUGAGUUUUCAAGAUACCUCCGAUUGGUUUUAUAGAAAGGGAUAGAUCUGAUUCUGACCCUAGCGGUCAGUGGCGAGCCAACCGCAGAACUGAACGGACCAAGAGCCUGGUGUGGCCAGCUGUGGCAUCUUUGGACCUAUGAUCAUCAUCAUUUGCCUCCAUUUUAAAUACAGAUAAG